rnacentral:rRNA from 1 species
GUGCCAGCCGCCGCGGUAAUACGGAGGGUCCAGGCGUUGUCCGGAAUCACUGGGCGUAAAGGGUGUGCAGGUGGGGCAGCAAGUCAGAGGUGAAAGCCCGCGGCUUAACCGCGGACGUGCCUUUGAAACUGCUGCUCUUGAGUCCCGGAGAGGUUGCCGGAAUUCGUGGUGUAGCGGUGAAAUGCGUAGAUAUCACGAGGAACACCAGAGGCGAAAGCGGACAGCUGGACGGGUACUGACGCUCAGGCACGAAAGCGUGGGGAGCAAACAGGAUUAGAUACCCCAGUAGUCC